rnacentral:rRNA from 1 species
UGGGGAAUUUUGGACAAUGGGGGAAACCCUGAUCCAGCGACGCCGCGUGAAGGAUGAAGGUCUUCGGAUUGUAAACUUCUUUUGGAGGGGACGAAACGGCCGUUUAAUAAACGGCCCUGACGGUACUCUCAGAAAAAGCCACGGCUAACUACGUGCCAGCAGCCGCGGUAAUACGUAGGUGGCGAGCGUUACUCGGAAUCACUAGGUGUAAAGCGCAUGUAGGCGGCUGGUCAAGUCUUCAGUGAAAUCUCUACGCUCAACGUAGAGGGGCCUGGGGAAACUGAUCGGCUUGAGUUUGGGAGGGGUAACUGGAAUUCCCGGUGUAGCGGUGAAAUGCGUAGAGAUCGGGAGGAACACCAAUGGCGAAAGCAGGUUACUGGACCAAUACUGACGCUCAGAUGCGAAAGCUAGGGGAGCAAACAGG